rnacentral:rRNA from 1 species
CCCGGGCGCAGCUUAACACAUGCAAGUCGAGCGGAAACGAUGAUAGCUUGCUAUCAGGCGUCGAGCGGCGGACGGGUGAGUAAUACUUAGGAAUCUACCUAGUAGUGGGGGAUAGCACGGGGAAACUCGUAUUAAUACCGCAUACGACCUACGGGAGAAAGGGGGCAGUUUACUGCUCUCGCUAUUAGAUGAGCCUAAGUCGGAUUAGCUAGAUGGUGGGGUAAAGGCCUACCAUGGCGACGAUCUGUAGCUGGUCUGAGAGGAUGAUCAGCCACACCGGGAYUGARACMCGGCCCGGACUCCUACGGGAGGCAGCAGUGGGGAAUAUUGGACAAUGGGGGAAACCCUGAUCCAGCCAUGCCGCGUGUGUGAAGAAGGCCUUUUGGUUGUAAAGCACUUUAAGCAGUGAAGAAGACUCCUCGGUUAAUACCCGUGGACGAUGACAUUAGCUGCAGAAUAAGCACCGGCUAACUCUGUGCCAGCAGCCGCGGUAAUACAGAGGGUGCAAGCGUUAAUCGGAAUUACUGGGCGUAAAGGGAGCGUAGGUGGCUCGAUAAGUCAGAUGUGAAAUCCCCGGGCUCAACCUGGGAACUGCAUCUGAUACUGUUGAGCUAGAGUAUGUGAGAGGAAGGUAGAAUUCCAGGUGUAGCGGUGAAAUGCGUAGAGAUCUGGAGGAAUACCGAUGGCGAAGGCAGCCUUCUGGCAUAAUACUGACACUGAGGCUCGAAAGCGUGGGUAGCAAACAGGAUUAGAUACCCUGGUAGUCCACGCCGUAAACGAUGUCUACUAGUCGUUGGGUCCCUUGAGGACUUAGUGACGCAGCUAACGCAAUAAGUAGACCGCCUGGGGAGUACGGCCGCAAGGUUAAAACUCAAAUGAAUUGACGGGGGCCCGCACAAGCGGUGGAGCAUGUGGUUUAAUUCGAUGCAACGCGAAGAACCUUACCUGGUCUUGACAUAUCUAGAAUCCUGCAGAGAUGCGGGAGUGCCUUCGGGAAUUAGAAUACAGGUGCUGCAUGGCUGUCGUCAGCUCGUGUCGUGAGAUGGUUGGGUUAAGUCCCGCAACGAGCGCAACCCUUGUCCUUAGUUACCAGCGGGUUAAGCCGGGAACUCUAAGGAUACUGCCAGUGACAAACUGGAGGAAGGSGGGGACGACGUCAAGUCAUCAUGGCCCUUACGACCRGGGCUACACRYGUKYUACAAUGGUAGGUACAGAGGGCAGCUACACAGCGAUGUGAUGCGAAUCUCAAAAAGCCUAUCGUAGUCCAGAUUGGAGUCUGCAACUCGACUCCAUGAAGUAGGAAUCGCUAGUAAUCGCGGAUCAGAAUGCCGCGGUGAAUACGUUCCCGGGCCUUGUACACACCGCCCGUCACACCAUGGGAGUUGAUUGCACCAGAAGUGGGUAGCCUAACCUUUUAGGAAGGCGCUCACCCACGGGGGUAU